UACGUAGGGGGCAAGCGUUGUCCGGAUUUAUUGGGCGUAAAGGGCGCGCAGGCGGUUCGUUUAGUCCGAGGUGAAAUCUCCCGGCUCAACUGGGAGGGGUCUUUGGAUACUGGCGGACUUGAGGUGAGCAGAGGUGAGCGGAAUUCUGGGUGUAGUGGUGAAAUGCGUAGAUAUCCAGAGGAACACCAGUGGCGAAGGCGGCUCACUGGGCUCCACCUGACGCUGAGGCGCGAAAGCGUGGGGAGCGAACCGG
rnacentral:rRNA from 1 species